ACCGGGUGGAGUAACACGUAUCCAACCUGCCGUCUACUCUUGGACAGCCUUCUGAAGGAAGAUUAAUACAAGAUGGCAUCAUGAGUUCACAUGUUCACAUGAUUAAAGGUAUUCCGGUAGACGAUGGGGAUGCGUUCCAUUAGAUAGUAGGCGGGGUAACGGCCCACCUAGUCUUCGAUGGAUAGGGGUUCUGAGAGGAAGGUCCCCCACAUUGGAACUGAGACACGGUCCAA
rnacentral:rRNA from 1 species